rnacentral:rRNA from 1 species
AACGUAGGAGACAAACGUUUAUCCGGAGUUACUGGGCGUAAAGGGCGUGUAGGUGGUUUCGUAAGUCUGGCGUGAAAUUUUUCGGCUUAACCGGGAAAGGUCGUCGGAUACUGCGGAACUAGAGGACGGUAGAGGCGUGUGGAAUUCCGGGUGUAGUGGUGAAAUGCGUAGAGAUCCGGAGGAACACCAGUGGCGAAGGCGACACGCUGGGCCGUACCUGACACUGAUGCGCGACAGCAUGGGGAGCAAACAGG